GGACUACCCGGGUUUCUAAUCCUGUUUGCUCCCCACGCUGUCGCGCAUCAGCGUCAGCCACAGCCCAGCAGACCGCCUUCGCCACCGGUGUUCUUCCGGAUCUCUACGCAUUCCACCGCUACACCCGGAAUUCCAUCUGCCUCUACUGUGCUCCAGCUUCCCAGUUCGCACGGCCGACUCGGAGUUGAGCCCCGAGCUUUCACCGCACGCUUAAGAAGCCGCCUACGCGCCCUUUACGCCCAGUGAUUCCGGACAACGCUCGCACCCUCCGUAUUACCGCGGCUGCUGGCAC
rnacentral:rRNA from 1 species